rnacentral:tRNA from 1 species
AUCUUUUUAGUAUAAUUAAUACCUCUGACUUCCAAUCAGAGCAUCUUGGUUAAACCCCAAGAAAAGAUA